rnacentral:rRNA from 1 species
GACGAACGCUGGCGGCGUGCCUAAUACAUGCAAGUUGAGCGCUGAAGGUUGGUACUUGUACCGACUGGAUGAGCAGCGAACGGGUGAGUAACGCGUGGGGAAUCUGCCUUUGAGCGGGGGACAACAUUUGGAAACGAAUGCUAAUACCGCAUAAAAACUUUAAACACAAGUUUUAAGUUUGAAAGAUGCAAUUGCAUCACUCAAAGAUGAUCCCGCGUUGUAUUAGCUAGUUGGUGAGGUAAAGGCUCACCAAGGCGAUGAUACAUAGCCGACCUGAGAGGGUGAUCGGCCACAUUGGGACUGAGACGCGGCCCAAACUCCUACGGGAGGCAGCAGUAGGGAAUCUUCGGCAAUGGACGAAAGUCUGACCGAGCAACGCCGCGGGAGUGAAGAAGGUUUUCGGAUCGUAAAACUCUGUUGGUAGAGAAGAACGUUGGUGAGAGUGGAAAGCUCAUCAAGUGACGGUAACUACCCAGAAAGGGACGGCUAACUACGUG